rnacentral:misc_RNA from 1 species
UAUCAAGGACAUAUCAGUCAAAACUGAUUCUCUAAGAAUGAAAUAUAUUCAGAUUGAAGGACUAGAAUCGUAUAAAAUCAAGAAAGAAAUGGCUACUUUGUUAAUCUUGAACAAGAAAAGUUCGUGAAAAUUGAUGUGACCCAGAAAGAAGAAGAAAGCAAAAAACAGAUAUUCAAGAAUACAUACAAAGAAAGGAGAGAAACUGAGAACACAAAUCAAAGAAAGGAAUCUUUUCAACAAUCGGAAUUACAAGCAUGCCUAGCCUUACAGAAUCUCACUUAUUAUAGCUAAUCACUCAGCCACGUGCAGAAGUAACAGAUUUCCUAACUAAUCAUCUACCAGGUCCGCCUAUACUGCAACAGAAAGCAUAACAACUUCAGAAUGUUUAUAUUCCUUUCCCCUACAUUUUUUGUUGCCAAAUGUAUCAUAUCAAUGCAUUCCCCUCAAGAAGUUCCUUGUCCUCAAGGAACUCAGAAGAAUUCAGACAUGGUUCGCACAUAUAUUCCCAUGCUCAGCUUCUUUGUGGACAGGAACCAUAUUUUCUUCCUCUGUCUUUGCCCAAUUUCAUCUCAUUCUCCUUGGGAUUCCAGCACCCUCUUUUACACGCAUCAGUUAAAUCUCAUAAAGAACAAACAUUUUCAACAUUUGAUCCACUCACUUCAAAUACUUCAAGCUUCAAAGAUCGAACAUCUGUUGCAAUGGUAAGAAUCUUACAGCUUAUAGUCUCCCCUGCUGCAAUCAGUGGAAGACUUAGUUCAAUGACAGACUCAAACAACAGCAUACCAUUAUUGCCCUGCCAAUCUGCUGCAUCCUCACUUAUCAACAAAUGCCAAGAACCCAUGUUCCUCUUCUGCAUUCUAUCAAACACCCAGCAUGCAUCUCUCAUACUCCCACCUUUUCCAUACAUUGCCAUCAAUUUGUUGCAUAUGCAUGCAAAUGCAAAUGCAAAUGCAAGUUGUAUUACAUUUUCCAGCAAUUAAAUAAGAGUUACAAACCAUAAUAAAAGGAAAGCAAGAAGAUGAACAUUUUCUGAUUUUCACUGGUAUUGAUCGCAAAAGACCAACUUGCCUCCUUUCAUGCACAAUCCUUGUUCGCCAACUGAAUUAAGUACUUUCCCAUAACUAUACCUCAAUGGCAUCCUUCCUAACAACUUAUGAAAUUCCCUUAUGCAUUCCCCUCUCCUCCUCCUAUGCUCCGCUCGCCUACUACUCAACCCCACUGCUCUUACACUCUUCCCUUCCUCAUCCUUCAAUCUCAACUUUCCAUCAUCAUUGUCAUCAUUACGAGCAUCUCCCCAAUCCCUAACCCUCUCUGCCCCCACCAAUAUAGGCCCUUUGUUAGCAUGGUCAGCUACCACAAAAUUCAUCAGUAUAUCUUCACAGUUUUGCAUUUGAUCAACGAUCUUCCUCAUUUCACUCAUGCUGGAUCCACCCUUGCAACUAUACUCAAACAGAUACUGGCUUUUCAAAAUCAUGAACUUGGUAAGCACAAUUGAGUAUUUAUCAGGAUGCACCGUGUAAAUCCACUUCCUUGCUGACAAAUCAAGAUCAUGAGAUCUAACAAAGAACCCAAUCAGAUUAUCAGGAUUUGAUCUCCAAAUCCGAAAAGCGAAAUCAAAAGAUUUAGGGUCAACCUCCACAUCAUCAUCGCAAAUCAAGACAGCUUGUGUCCCAAUGGAUGAUCUUGGCAGGAAUCGAUCAUUGAGGCUGCUUGAAGGUUGGCGGACAAGGGAGAUGGUUGCAGGGCCAAAUGAGGAGAGAGAGAGAUUAUGGGCCAAGUGGGCCAGUGUUUGGGAAGAAGUGGAAGAGUUUCCCCAGAGGACGAGCACAGAGGAUACUAGUGCAGAGGCAGAGUAUGUGGUAGCAAUUGUCUGAAGGAGAGGAAUGUGAGACUCAGAAUAACCAUUAAUAAGGACAGUGAUUUGAUCUGGUCGGAGGUUUCGUGGGUCAGGCUCAUUUGCUGGGUCACAUGGAUCAGAAGGUAGAGUCCGAAGGGAGAAUACACCAAGAGGCAAUGUUAAUAAUAAGCAUACAUACAAUAAAACUUUCACCAUCGAUGUGAUUAUGUGAAAUUUUAAUACUCUUCAUCUCCCCACAUGUGUUCAUUUGUUAGCUGUAUUCUUUUACAAUUGUAUUCUUCUCCAAUGCUCCCAAUUCCAAUAAGCUUGAUUAUUUCGAUUCAACAAGAUUUUGUCUGAUUCCAAUGGUAUGACUCGGAUCUGAAAAUUUAUUGGUAUCAAUAGCAGCAAAUAUUGGUUCAAUAAAAUGGACUUCAAGCCUGAAUGUGCUGAUUGAAAACACUGGUAAGCAUAUAUAUGAAUAUUAUGAUGCUAGUGCUGAAGAAAUGGAUUCUUUUUAAUUCUCGUGUUUCUUGCACAAGCAAAGAAAUACCAUUUCUAAUGGGCAAAAAGAUGAAUAUAUUUUCUAUUCACAGACACCAAGCUACCGAGACUCGUAUUCAAAAGACUUCAAACCUCCCUGCCUUCUCACUCCAUUCUUUUCUGUGGCUCCCAAAUUCAACACGUUGCUUUGAUCACCAUCUCAUUGAUCAGUGCAUUUCUGACAAGCUAGUCCAACUCUUACUUUAAAAUCUUCAAGAAUGCAGAUGCUUGAAGAAAAUAGUCUUCCUUCCUUGGUUCAUUUACUUUCUCACUCCCCUCCUUCUUUUCUCCAGUGGCUAAAAUGACUACUGUAAGAGUACUAUUGCCUCUUGCUGCUGCCAAUCAAUGGUUUCUUAAUCCCAUUGCAACUAAUAGAGAGAAACAGUUUAGUCAGAGAGCUUGCAAAUCGAAUAUUCUACCGAAAUAGAAUCUCCUUUCAGCGGCUUACGAAACCCAAUAAAAAUAAGUGAAUCCAGUGAAGAUUUAGCUCAAAUCUACGAUGGUAAUCUCUGGUUUGAAGACGUUCAACUCGACCUCAUUCAGCAAAGCUAAAUCCUCCAGAAUGUCAUUCAGCUUGAAUCUUUUGUGGGUCU